AUGUGUUUGCCUGAAACUGUGAGUGAAGUCUUGGAUGUUGCAGCUGCUUCUGCCCAUGAGGAGAACUUAGACAGUGUCAAGGAAGGAGUAGCCUCAGCAGCUCAAGAGAUGUCUGACACAGCCACGAGGAGCCAGGACGCUGAUGCUGAGGAGUCGGGGAGAGCUUCAGAAGUUUCUGAGGAGGAGAAGGCACCUGAAGAAGUCGCUAAGGAACCCUAAAGGUACACAGCACAAUUGCAGCAGGAGGUUUCUUGCAAUCCCCCUUUCUGUCUUUCCCUGGUAGUGGCAAUUGCGGCAUGUGGAAAGUCUGCAUGUGCACUCUGGUGGAUUUGCAUUUCCACACACAACAAUGGCCCAGAAAAAAAAAAAAAAAAAAAAAAAAAAAAAAAACAAGAAAAAAGAAAAAAGGAGAAAAAAGUAGUAUUUCUUACUGUUUAAGAAUCAUUGUUAGCAUCUUUUAGAUGCCUAGGGAGCAGAACUUUCUCAGUUCUCAAUCUGAACUAUUUAUUCAUGGUUAUUUAUUCAUGGCUUUAUCUUCCAUGCAGACUGGAUUAAGACAUGAGUCACUUUUUUUUUUUUCUAGGCAAAAAUUGUUCUUUGAAUGCUGAUUUAAAUUAUAGAGAUAAUUAGCUCAUACAGAUGAACU
rnacentral:lncRNA from 1 species